CCUACGGGAGGCUGCAGUAGGGAAUCUUCCACAAUGGGCGAAAGCCUGAUGGAGCAACGCCGCGUGGGUGAAGAAGGUCUUCGGAUCGUAAAACCCUGUUGUGAGAGAAGAAAGUGCGUGAGAGUAACUGUUCACGUGUCGACGGUAUCUAACCAGAAAGCGACGGCUAACUACGUGCCAGCAGCCGCGGUAAUACGUAGGUGGCAAGCGUUAUCCGGAUUUAUUGGGCGUAAAGGGAACGCAGGCGGUCUUUUAAGUCUGAUGUGAAAGCCUUCGGCUUAACCGGAGUAGUGCAUUGGAAACUGGGAGACUUGAGUGCAGACGAGGAGAGUGGAACUCCAUGUGUAGCGGUGAAAUGCGUAGAUAUAUGGAAGAACCCCAGUGGCGAAAGCGGCUCUCUGGUCUGUAACUGACGCUGAGGUUCGAAAGCGUGGGUAGCAAACAGGAUUAGAUACCCGUGUAGUC
rnacentral:rRNA from 1 species